AUUGAACGCUGGCGGAAUGCUUUACACAUGCAAGUCGAACGGCAGCACGGACUUCGGUCUGGUGGCGAGUGGCGAACGGGUGAGUAAUGUAUCGGAACGUGCCCAGUCGUGGGGGAUAACAUAGUGAAAAUUACGCUAAUACCGCAUACGAUCUAUGGAUGAAAGCGGGGGAUCGCAAGACCUCGCGCGAUUGGAGCGGCCGAUAUCAGAUUAGGUAGUUGGUGGGGGAAAGGCCCACCAAGCCAACGAUCUGUAGCUGGUCUGAGAGGACGACCAGCCACACUGGAACUGAGACACGGUCCAGACUCCUACGGGAGGCAGCAGUGGGGAAUUUUGGACAAUGGGCGAAAGCCUGAUCCAGCCAUUCCGCGUGCAGGAUGAAGGCCCUCGGGUUGUAAACUGCUUUUGUACAGAACGAAAAGGUCUCUACUAAUACUAGGAGCUCAUGACGGUACUGUAAGAAUAAGCACCGGCUAACUACGUGCCAGCCGCCGCCGUAA
rnacentral:rRNA from 1 species